AUUGAACGCUGGCGGCAUGCCUUACACAUGCAAGUCGAACGGUAACAGGGAGCUUGCUCCGCUGACGAGUGGCGAACGGGUGAGUAAUGUAUCGGAACGUACCAUUCAGUGGGGGAUAACGUAGCGAAAGUUACGCUAAUACCGCAUAUUCUGUGAGCAGGAAAGCAGGGGAUCGCAAGACCUUGCGCUGAUUGAGCGGCCGAUAUCAGAUUAGCUAGUUGGUGAGGUAAAGGCUCACCAAGGCGACGAUCUGUAGCGGGUUUGAGAGGAUGAUCCGCCACACUGGAACUGAGACACGGUCCAGACUCCUACGGGAGGCAGCAGUGGGGAAUUUUGGACAAUGGGGGCAACCCUGAUCCAGCCAUGCCGCGUGAGUGAAGAAGGCCUUCGGGUUGUAAGCUCUUUCGGCCGGGAAAAUACGCAUCAGUUAAUACUGGUGUGGAUGAUGGUACCGGAAGUAAGAAGACACCGGCUAACUACGU
rnacentral:rRNA from 1 species